rnacentral:rRNA from 1 species
UACAGAGGUGGCAAGCGUUGUUCGGAAUUACUGGGCGUAAAGAGCGUGUAGGCGGCUUGGUAAGUCCGCUGUGAAAGUCCAGGGCUCAACCCUGGAAAGCCAGUGGAAACUGCCAAGCUAGAGUCCGGAAGAGGCGAGUGGAACUCCUGGUGUAGCGGUGAAAUGCGCAGAUAUCAGGAAGAACACCAAUGGCGAAGGCAGCUCGCUGGGACGCGACUGACGCUGAGACGCGAAAGCGUGGGGAGCAAACAGG